UAGGGAAUCUUGCGCAAUGAGCGAAAGCUUGACGCAGCGACGCCGCGUGUGGGAUGACGGCCUUCGGGUUGUAAACCACUUUCAGCAGGGACGAAGCCUUACGGUGACGGUACCUGCAGAAGAAGGUCCGGCCAACUACGUGCCAGCAGCCGCGGUAAUACGUAGGGACCGAGCGUUGUCCGGAUUUAUUGGGCGUAAAGAGCUCGUAGGCGGCUCUUCGCGUCGGAUGUGAAAGCUCAGGGCUCAACCCUGAGAGGCCAUUCGAUACGGGAGAGCUAGAGGUAGGUAGGGGAAAGUGGAAUUCCUGGUGUAGCGGUGAAAUGCGCAGAUAUCAGGAGGAACACCGGUGGCGAAGGCGGCUUUCUGGGCCUUACCUGACGCUGAGGAGCGAAAGCUGGGGGAGCGAACAGG
rnacentral:rRNA from 1 species